AUGCAAGUCGAGGGGUAACGGAAGUAGCUUGCUACUAGACGACGACCGGCGCACGGGUGAGUAACGCGUAUGUAAUCUGCCUUGUACAGAGGGAUAGCCCAGAGAAAUUUGGAUUAAUACCUCAUAGUAUUACUGAAUCGCAUGAUUUGGUAAUUAAAGCUCCGGCGGUACAAGAUGAACAUGCGUGACAUUAGCUAGUUGGUAAGGUAACGGCUUACCAAGGCCACGAUGUCUAGGGGUUCUGAGAGGAUGAUCCCCCACACUGGUACUGAGACACGGACCAGACUCCUACGGGAGGCAGCAGUGAGGAAUAUUGGUCAAUGGACGCAAGUCUGAACCAGCCAUCCCGCGUGAAGGAUGACUGCCCUAUGGGUUGUAAACUUCUUUUAUAUGCAAAUAAACCUACUUUCGUGAAAGUAGCUGAAGGUAGCAUAUGAAUAAACACCGGCUAACUCCGUGCCAGCAGCCGCGGUAAUACGGAGGGUGGUAGCGUUAUCCGGAUUUAUUGGGCUUAAAGGGUACGUAGGCG
rnacentral:rRNA from 1 species